rnacentral:tRNA from 4 species
GCCGGGAUGGUGGAAUAGGUAGACACGCAAGACUUAAAAUCUUGUGGCCAUAUCGGCCGUGCGGGUUCGAUUCCCGCUCCUGGUA